rnacentral:antisense_RNA from 1 species
GCAUUAUUGAACAAAUUAAAAUAUAAAAAAUGACAUUUUAUCCAGUAAUUAUUUAACUUUGCAAAAAAUGACCCCUCACUAAUUGCUGAAUGAUAAAGUAACUCUGUCAGUCAUAUUUAAUAAACUAAUAAAAUUCGGAACUUCGAUUGACCAUUUCAACUGGGUUUAGUGCUCUAAAUGUCUUGAGUUCAUUUGAUUCUACCUUACUACACGUUAAUGUAUUCAUUAUACAACCAGAGAAACCACUUCUUUUUUGAACUUUUUUUAUAGGAAGAAAUGGAUUUGGAUGGGCCUUCGUGACACCAUUGUUUAUAAUACUAUUACUUUCAAUUGAUUUGCUCAUAGCAGUUUGCUGUUUAUUUUGGAAAACUUCACAAUUACUAGAGUCCUUUUCCAAUAAUCUAGGCGCAUUAUGCAACGAUUCAGCAUGUUGAAAAUCUGUAUUAGUUUCAAUAUUUGUGACACCUCCUUGGUCAAAUUCCAAAUAUUCUGGUAUAUCUCUUGUUAGAUCUACAACAUCUCUUGCUUGAUCUUGAAUAUCCCUUUCUAUUUCUGAAAAGAUUCUUCCUGCUUCAUCAAUUGUACUAUUUAUUAUUUUGGAGUUAUUUUUCGAAGAAUUAGUCUCUCCUUUAACUUCAUAAUUAUCUACAUUAUGACUAGCAUGUGAUUUUGGAUGCUGCAAAUAGUUUUCAUUAUUGAAUGUUCUUUUCCCGUCCAUAUUUGGGGUGAAUUCAUUGCUUUUAAAAUGAUUUUUCACCCCAUUUUCUUCCAGAGAGGACCUCCUCCUACUCUGUGACCUUGAGCGGUCAAUAUAGCUGUGAUUAUGACCCUUUGGUGAAUUAGAAGAAUCGGCAGCAUACCCAUGGUUUAGUUCUUGAAAUUCCCUAGGAGUCUGAAUCUUUGGAAUAUCCCCAAUGCUUAUUGAAGAAUCUGGAUUUGUAUUGGUUGUAAAGUUAAUAUGUGCUUUUGCAUUUCUUCCCCCAGAAAUUUCAUACUCAAUUGCAGGUCCUGUUGGAGUAGAUAUUACAUUAAUAUCAACGCCAGGCUUGAUAUGCAACUCAGUUACAACAUUUUGAGUAUCUGGAUCAGCAAAAAUAGUUGCUUUAGAGUUAUUACUUUCACAAUCUGGAAGCAUAUGAAAAACUAUGGUCUGUUUACCAGAUGGGGUAACUACAGGAAAUUUCUCUGGAGAAUUCCCAGACCGGUCAUUACCAUGUUUAUUUAAUCCUAGCCUAGAGCUUGCUAAAGACCUGGAUGUCAAAUUACCCAUUCUUGGAGUAUUCAAUACUGAAGUUCUGUGUUGAUUAACAGGAGAAACCAAUCCUUCAGAAGUCUCAACAGGUUCCAAUAUUCCUAUUUUUGGAGGAGGGCCUCUUCCUGUACUUUUUGUAGGAGAAAGGAGAUCAGGAGAAGUAGCCCUUCUGGAACCACCUGCUGAGAUUGGAAGAUUAUUUGUGUCAUUACAAUGUUCAAACUCUGAUGGAACUCCUAAUACAGUAUUUCUAUGACCUGAUGAAACUGGGGUCAUAUUUAGUGAGGAUUCCCUUAACGCUUCAUUUGGAUUUAUUUCACCAUUUCUAGCAUUUCUAUAGUUUGAUUCGAAUACUUCUCCAGGAAUUUGAUCAGCUUGAUUUGCAGAUCUUCUAUCUUUAAAAUUAUUAAUAUGUUGC